AAGAGAAAGUUGCCAGCAUUACGCCGAAGCUUGGAGCGUGAGGCGUUGAGUACGGGCGGCAAGUGACGCAACAAAAUGUGCCACCUUAAAGUUUUCUUCCUUGCCAUCGCCGUAUUGCUUGCAACGCACACAGUCACGAAAUACGCUGCCGCGGAGGAGAGCGACUUCAUUGACUGGGGAGAAGGAAGCGGCGAUGAAUGCGACACUUCGCAGAACUGCCAUUCACCGGGAACGAUGUGUUGUGUAAGCACCCACGGCACUAAACAGUGUCAAUCGCUGGCUCAGAUUGGUCAACGUUGCUCACUGAAUGAGCCUCAUGAAACAUACUGCCCUUGUGCAUCACCGCAUACGUGUGUUGACAAGGGAGAAGGGAUCAACAUAUGCGUGGCUCCUGGCAAAAGAAAAUAAACUUCACCAAAUUUUAUGCAGCACA